rnacentral:rRNA from 1 species
AGCUUGCUCCCUGAUAUCAGCGGCGGACGGGUGAGUAACACGUGGGUAACCUGCCUGUAAGACUGGGAUAACUCCGGGAAACCGGGGCUAAUACCGGAUAACUCAUUUCCUCGCAUGAGGAAAUGUUGAAAGGUGGCUUCGGCUACCACUUACAGAUGGACCCGCGGCGCAUUAACUAGUUGGUGAGGUAACGGCUCACCAAGGCAACGAUGCGUAACCGACCUGAGAGGGUGAUCGGCCACACUGGGACUGAAACACGGCCCAAACUCCUACGGGAGGCAGCAGUAGGGAAUCUUCCGCAAUGGAAGAAAGUCUGACGGAACAACCCCGCGUGAGUGAUGAAGGUUUUCGGAUCGUAAAGCUCUGUUGUUAGGGAAAAACAAGUGCCGUUCGAAUAGGGCGGCCCCUUGACGGUACCUAACCAGAAAGCCACGGCUAACUACGUGCCCACAGCCGCGGUAAUACGUAAGUGGCAAGCGUUGUCCGGAAUUAUUGGGCGUAAAGCGCGCGCAAGUGGUUCCUUAAGUCUGAUGUGAAAGCCCACGGCUCAACCGUGGAGGGUCAUUGGAAACUGGGGAACUUGAGUGCAAAAGAAGAAAGUGGAAUUCCAAGUGUAGCGGUGAAAUGCGUAAAUAUUUUGGAAGAACACCAGUGGCGAAAGCGACUUUCUGGUCUGUAACUGACACUGAAGCGCGAAAGCGUGGGGGAACAAACAAAGAUUAAAUACCCUGGUACCCCCCCCCCUAAACCAUGAGUGCUAAGUGUUAGGGGGUUCUCCCCCCCC